rnacentral:rRNA from 1 species
CCUACGGGAGGCAGCAGUGAGGAAUAUUGGUCAAUGGUCGGGAGACUGAACCAGCCAAGCCGCGUGAGGGAUGAAGGUACAGAGUAUCGUAAACCUCUUUUGUCAGGGAACAAAGGCGGGGACGUGUCCCCGGAUGAGUGUACCUGAAGAAAAAGCAUCGGCUAACUCCGUGCCAGCAGCCGCGGUAAUACGGAGGAUGCGAGCGUUAUCCGGAUUUAUUGGGUUAAAAGGGUGCGCAGGCGGUCUUUUAAGUCAGCGGUAAAAGCCCGGGGCUCAACCCCGGCCCGCCGUUGAAACUGGCAGUCUCGAGUUGGAGAGAAGUAUGCGGAAUGCGCGGUGUAGCGGUGAAAUGCAUAGAUAUCGCGCAGAACUCCGAUUGCGAAGGCAGCAUGCCGGCUCCACACUGACGCUGAGGCACGAAAGCGUGGGUAUCGAACAGGAUUAGAUACCCUGGUAGUC